rnacentral:tRNA from 1 species
UACCCUCCCCAAGGACA